UGGGGAAUAUUGUACAAUGGGGGAAACCCUGAUGCAGCGACGCCGCGUGGAGGAUGACGGCCUUCGGGUUGUAAACUCCUUUUGUCAGGGACAAUGGUGAUGGUACCUGACGAAUAAGCCACGGCUAACUCUGUGCCAGCAGCCGCGGUAAGACAGAGGUGGCGAGCAUUGUUCGGAAUUACUGGGCUUAAAGGGCGCGUAGGCGGUGGUGUAAGUCUGGGGUGGAAUGCUACAGCUCAACCGUAGAGCUGCCUUGGAAACUGCAUUACUUGAGUCGGUGAGGGGAAGGCGGAAUUCCUGGUGUAGCGGUGAAAUGCGUAGAUAUCAGGAGGAAGGUCUGUGGCGAAGGCGGCCUUCUGGCACUUGACUGACGCUGAGGCGCGGAAGCGUGGGGAGCAAACAG
rnacentral:rRNA from 1 species